rnacentral:rRNA from 1 species
UACGUAGGGGGCUAGCGUUGUCCGGAAUCAUUGGGCGUAAAGAGCGCGUAGGCGGCCAGAUAAGUCCGGUGUGAAAGUCAAAGGCUCAACCUUUGAAUGCCGCUGGAAACUGUCUGGCUAGAGUCCGGGAGGGGCGAGUGGAAUUCCUGGUGUAGCGGUGAAAUGCGCAGAUAUCAGGAGGAACACCAAUGGCGAAGGCAGCUCGCUGGAACGGUACUGACGCUGAGGCGCGAAAGCGUGGGGGAGCAAACAGG